CCGGCACAAGUUGGGGGGUGGAAAGGGUUUACUGGUUUUGGAUGGGCUCACGGCCUAUCAGCUUGUUGGUGGGGUAAUGGCUCACCAAGGCGACGACGGGUAGCCGGCCUGAGAGGGUGACCGGCCACACUGGGACUGAGACACGGCCCAGACUCCUACGGGAGGCAGCAGUGGGGAAUAUUGCACAAUGGGCGAAAGCCUGAUGCAGCGACGCCGCGUGAGGGAUGACGGCCUUCGGGUUGUAAACCUCUUUCAGUAGGGAAGAAGCGCAAGUGACGGUACCUGCAGAAGAAGCGCCGGCUAACUACGUGCCAGCAGCCGCGGUAAUACGUAGGGCGCAAGCGUUGUCCGGAAUUAUUGGGCGUAAAGAGCUCGUAGGCGGUUUGUCGCGUCCGCUGUGAAAGCCCGGGGCUCAACCCCGGGUCGGCAGUGGGUACGGGCAGACUAGAGUGCAGUAGGGGAGACUGGAAUUCCUGGUGUAGCGGUGAAAUGCGCAGAUAUCAGGAGGAACACCGAUGGCGAAGGCAGGUCUCUGGGCUGUUACUGACGCUGAGGAGCGAAAGCAUGGGGAGCGAACAGGAUUAGAUACCCUGGUAGUCCAUGCCGUAAACGUUUGGGCACUAGGUGUGGGGGACAUUCCACGUCCCUCCCGCGCCGUACUUACGCAUUAAGUGCCCCGCCUUGGGGAGUACGGCGCAAGGCUAAAACUCAAAGAAUUGACGGGGGCCCGCACAAGCGGCGGAGCAUGCGGAUUAAUUCGAUGCACGCGAAAAACCUUACCAGGCUGACAUCCACCGGACCGCCCCAAAGAUGGGGU
rnacentral:rRNA from 1 species